rnacentral:rRNA from 1 species
CAGUCGCCGCGGGAAUACGUAGGGUGCGAGCGUUAAUCGGAAUUACUGGGCGUAAAGCGUGCGCAGGCGGUUUUGUAAGACAGGCGUGAAGUCCCCGGGCUCAACCUGGGAAUGGCGCUUGUGACUGCAAAGCUAGAGUGCGGCAGAGGGGGAUGGAAUUCCGCGUGUAGCAGUGAAAUGCGUAGAUAUGCGGAGGAACACCGAUGGCGAAGGCAAUCCCCUGGGCCUGCACUGACGCUCAUGCACGAAAGCGUGGGGAGCAAACAGGAUUAGAUACCCGUGUAGUCCCUGUCUCUUAUAC